GUCUGUGAGGUAUAUCUCCCAUGCCUUUGAGGUAGUUUAGAAAUUUUAACCUGUUAAGACAAUAAUAACUAAUACUUCCAGCAAAACCGUCCACAACAGGAAAAGUGAAAUCCAAAAAGUGCAACUAGAGAAAAAAAUCAGGGUUUCUUAAUUUAACAUUUUUCUUUUCAGCUGGUCUGUAGUCCCCCAAAGCACAAAAGUAACGAGAGUGCAUCUGAUACUGUAUUUAACUGGAGUGACAUAUGACCUGAGUUUGCUCAGAAACAGUCCUAUUUCUGUUUUCUCAGCUUAAAUAGUGCCUCCUCUCUCAAAAGUGUCCUAAUUUGGAGAAUAAAUUACAUGAUCACCCUAUAUAUAACUGUACCUUAUACUGAGAAGUGACUGCCUAAAUCCACUGCCCUUUGAGAGAAGGAACUGGAGUAUUAGGUCAGGAGCUAAUUUUUGUCACAGUCUUUCCUAGCCAACCCAUUUGUCUGACCUAUAGAAUAUGCACAGUAUCUUUUUUUUUUUUUUUUAAAUAGAAGUUGUAUUGGAAUGAUUCCAGCUUAUGGUAAAUAGUAAACAAUGAGCUUUUAUAUUUUAAAACUGCUGUUAAAUGUUAAUUUUAAUUGUUUAUUCUUCAAAUAGUCAUAUGAAAUGUUAGUGUAUUAUUUUUAAAAAUCUCAUUCUUGAUAAAGUUAAACUGUUAGAUGAUAAUGUGCCAAUUAUUAUAGGAAUGUCCUUGCCCAUAUAUAAAACUUGCUGACAUAUGUUUUGCUUAUUAAUAAAGUUCUAUAGAUAUGGAAAUGUGAACCUGUGCAUCCUUUUGAAAUCAGUGUAAGAUUCACAACAUAUCGCCAUCUUAGCCUCACAAAAUGUUUAUAUGGUAUACCUUACUUGAGAUAAGAACAACUGGCAUGGAAUUAGGUUGGAGUGUGGAACAGUAUUAAACUUGUCACAGAAGAUGAUUGCAGUUUAAUUUUAAUACAUGCCAAAAAAUCAGCUUUAUGGAAUUUAUGUUCAUUGCUACUUUGCAGAAUAUCAGUGGUAACCAUAGGUCAGACCACCCUGUGGGCUUGUAUUUUCAUUUGGGACAUAGACCCUAGAAUGCAAAAAACUUCCUUCAAAUUAUUUAGAAGAAAAUCAAAAAGCUCAUUCCAUACUUGAUAAAAGUUUUUAAAAGUGUUUAUUUUGAACUCAACAUGCUUGGUGGUUUUAACUUUUCUUUCUUGGUGUUUUCAGCUUAGCUUUCAUUUUUUUUUGUUUUUUUUGUUUUGAGAGAUUGAGCUUUUAAAACCUACUUGGUUUUCAUGAAACCAUUAAAAAAAUCCAGUAGCUAUAUAGAGUUUACUUUUUAAAAAAAGAUUUAUUUAUUUAAUUGAGAGAGAGUGGAGGGAGGAGCAGAGGGAGAGAGAAUCUCAAGCAGACUCCAUUCUGAGCAUGGAGCCCAAUGCCAGGCUCUGUCUCAUGAUCCUGAUGACUGGAGCUGAAACCAAGAGUUGGACGCUCAACCGACUGAGCCACCCAGGCUCCCCUAGAGUAUUACUUUUUUAGCAAUUCGAGAUUAUGGAAAGCCAAAAUCAUACACUUUUGGUUUCCAGAAAUUGAGAGGUAGCUUCUCUAUCUCUCACACUUGCAAGAAGAGUCACCUUAUUACUUUCCCACUCCUUUUGUGUUUGUUUUACUUAGGUCAACAUUUUACCUUCAGUGACACAAGAAGGGAUAUAGGUGGUUAUCCUUACAGCAUAAUAUCUUUUAGCUUUACCAGAAGCAUAGCAAGAUCACGUAAAACAAAAGUUUAACCAAAGUUCAGAAGAAAUUUGGAGGAGCCUCUGCGCUCAGAUUAUGAAAAGUAGCAGAUAACAUUGUUGGAAAGUAUGAACUCUUUGGAGAUUUAAGAACAGUACUUGUACCUAAAUCCCUAGUGUGGAAAUAAAUUUAUCAUUCCUUUAGUUUCUCAGCCAUCUGAAUUCCUGCAUGGUGAUUUGGUUUGGCUAUGCAGUCAAUGGGAUUUGGGCUUUAAAAUUUUAAUUUUCAUCUUAUUCAGAGAUAAGACCUAAAGACUUUCUUUUUCAUCAAGUUGGCUCUGUGCCCAACAUGAGGCUUGAACUCAUGACCCUGAGAUCAAGAGUCAAGUGCUCUUCCAACUGAGCCAGCCAGGCACCCCAAGAUUUAAAAACUUAAUUGCUAGUAAGCAUUGGUGGUAGAAUGAGUGUGAAGUAUCACUUCCUAAAUCCAGCUUUUAAAAUGACCAGCAGACUGUGGAAAACAGGAUCAGUUCAUUGAGAGUUAGGAACUUCUAAAAGAUAAGUGAGUCUUAACAUUUCCUUAAUCCAAUGGGAUCUCCAGGGAGGAAUUAUUAUUUUUUACUUAUUUUUAUUAUUUUUAUUUGUUUUGGAGAGGGAGGGGAGGGGCAGAGGGAGAGAUAGAAUCGCAAUCAGGCUCCAAGCCCAGCAUGGAGCCCUUGGGGCUUGAUCCCACAAUCCUGAGAUCAUGACCUGAGCCAAAAUCAAGAGUCGGACACUUGGGGCACCUGGGUGGCUCAGUCGGUUAAGCGACUGCCUUCGGCUCAGGUCACGAUCCUGGAGUCCCGGGAUCGAGUCCCUCAUCGGGCUCCCUGCUCAGCAGGGAGUCUGCUUCUCCCUCUGACCCUCCUCCCUCUCAUUCUGUCUCAAAUAAAUAAAUAAAAUCUUUAAAAAAAAAAAAAAAAAGAGUCGGACACUUAACUGAGCCACCCAGGCGACCUCCAGGGAUGAACUCUUGAUUGAGUGAUUCUUAGGACCUCUCUUUAGAGCUGGGAUUGUUAUUCAAAAUGGUGCGUUAUAAUCAACUGGGAGUUUGGGGGAAAUUAACAUUCUAGCCUCCAUUACCAGAGGAUCCAAUGCAAUACACCUGGGUGUGAUAGCACAUUUCCUUACGGUAGUUUGAAGUUCUGGGAUUUUGGUCUAGUAGGAAUCCGCUGAUGUCCUUUUUCAUCCUUGUGUGCUCUCUAUAGCUAGGUCCUUGUACACAGGUGAUGGAUAGUUACAAUGUUAGGCUCAAUGUAUCAGACUUCCUGCAGGAGUCUGAUACAUUUAACAUACAUUUAACAGAUUCUUAAACAGUUAAUGAGCAUUUCUUGAGUUCUUUAUGACCUCUCUGAAGGAGACCCUUUCUGGUGUUCAGGCCUUUAUACACACAACCUGGCUCUGCAGGGCAGUGUGGGAGUGCUGUGACAGAAUGGAAGUGUUUGUUGUUUUCUCCAUAAUCCUGUAAAGUGAGCAGAAUUGGAUUAAUUUUCACCCAGUUGAUUUUUCCGACCUCAAGAAAUGUACUUCUUUCCACUAGUAGCUCCCUUUCUCUAUCCUUGAGGAGCCUCUGGAUUAUUAAGAGAAGCAGCUUUAUGUAAUAAAAGACUGGUUUUGGAGCCAGAUUAAUUAACCCUGAACUCAAAUAACCAACUUUCAUGCAAGCACAGGCAAUUUGCUUAACCAGAGCCUCAGUUUCCUCACCCAUUUGUUGGGAAGCACAGUAUGUACCUGAAGAUGAGGUGAGAAUUAUGCAAAAGAAAGAGGCAUUAUGACAUCUUUGCUCAGUGUGUUCCCUGACCAGACUGCCUCUGUCAGUAGAUGCUUUAAGGGUUUGAAAUAAGCCCUUGCCUGAUGUAGGCCAUGCACCCGCCAAAAAGGGUGAUUUAUAAUAGCAUCGUGCUGGCCUAGGGUUGGUUCCUUAUAUCUUGUAUCUUCUCUGCAGCAAGUGGAAUCAAAGCAAAAGUUUCUUUUUGUCUGUCUAUCUAUCUAUCUAUCUAUCUAUCUAUCUAUCUAUCUAUCUAUCUAUCUAUCUAUCAUCUAUUUUUUAUGUUAGUCACCAUACAGUACAUCAUUAAUUUUUGAUGACAACUGAUUUUAAAGAUUUUAUUUAUUUAUUUGACAGAGAGAGACACAGUGAGAGAGGAACACAAGCAGGGGGAGUGGAAGAGGGAGAGGCAGGCCUCCCGCUGAGCGGCUAGCCCGAUGUGGGGCUCGAUCCCAGCACCCUGGGACCGUGACCUGAGCUGAAGGCAGGUGCUUAACGACUGAGCCACCCAGGCGCCCCGACAACUGAUUUUAAGGGACACAGUCAUGCAAAGGGGAAGGGAGUUGCCUGUUGGACAAGCAGUAAAGCACUCCAGCUGGUGGGGAGUGUGGUAGCUCACACAGAUCUUUCCAGGCCAAAGUGUGGAGGCCCCAAAACCAGUCCCUCAGAUCUUCACUGUUGAAUUGGGAUGAUGUUGCUUUUUACAGGUAUCCCCUGCCUUUUGAAGGUUCACAGGACACCACUUCAUGUUCAUGAAAAACCUACAUUGGUUCUUGUUUUCGCUAACUGAAAGAAAUUCAGAGAUUUUUGCUUUACUGAAAAAAGGUGAAAAGCAAACAUAGCACUCAGCAUCAGUUUUGCAGCGCGCUAGGACAGGGGCAGUGUGCACCCCACUCUGCUUCCCCUGACCUGCCCUUAAGCAUCUCGGCAUCAAGCCAGCAGAGCUCUGAGCUGCGUCUGGGAGCAUCUGUGUCUUACCCGGAUUUGCUUUGUGCAUUCGUUAGCAAGAUGUGUCCUAAGGUGUUAGAGAAGCCGAAGAGAGAUUUUCGGGGUCUAGGAGUGCCCAGAAAUAAAUGGUAAUAAAUUUAAUGAUAAUUGCUUUCAUAUAGAUCAGUGGUAAUUGCUUCCCGUUACACACUUGAGCUUACGAAGGUUUCCUGCAAUGCUCUGCUUUUGGAGAGCGCGACAAACUUGUAACUGGCGCUGCAUCACUGUUGCUCAGGGAGCCGGGGCCCUGAAAUCCUGGUUGAGAAGUGAUCAGAAAAUAGUUUGUGGGCAGGUUGUUUCUGAUUCUAGGAAUUCGAGGACUCACCAGCUUUCUCUUAUCAUCAUGGGCUCUUAAUCUUGGAUUAAUUUUCAAAAAUGUCUAUUACCUUGCAAGGGAAAUACUUAGAUGGGACUUAGGUCUCCUAGACUCUACCCUGAUCAUAAUUGGGUCAAUCAAAAAUUUUUGAGUGCCGAAGGGAUGGUGCUGUUGCCUUCACAGGACAUCCAUCUACCCUAUUCAUUUUUCCACCUUCAAAAUGAGCUUAAAUAUCAUCUCUUUCGGGAAGGUCCAUUCUCUCUCAUCCUCUCACUCCGACCCGGUCCUCUUGGUUUCCAUAGCCCUGUGUAUUCUUUCCGUCAAGACACACAGGACACUGCCUUAUCAUUACUGACUUGGGUGUUACUGUCCUCAGUUGUAGGUGUUAAAUCUUACCCAACUUGGCACGCCUCCCCCACACUCAGUACAGCUCAGUAAACUGGAAGGAUGGGUGGGAUGGCUGCUAGUGCCAGGCUGAGUGCGCCCCAGGACACCUAAAAUACUUUCAGCCCUUUAACCCAAAUGGAGGGACAUUUAUACACAGGAAAAUGUGCUAAUGUGAGGUAGGGACAGAAAUCUCGGUCUGAACCGUUGAUCUCUGGGAGAACCAGGGCACCCUGCACUACAGAGGUGACGCUGGAACUAGAACUUCUAGAGAAAAGAGGAGUGUGCAGCUAUGUUUAUUUUUUUUAUUUUUAUUUAUUUAUUUAUUUAUUUUUAUUUAUUUAUUUUUUAAGAUUUUAUUUAUUUAUUUGAGACAGAGAGCAUGAGAGGGAGGAGGGUCAGAGGGAGAAGCAGACUCCCUGCCGAGCAGGGAGCCCGAUGCGGGACUCGAUCCCGGGACCCCAGGAUCAUGACCUGAGCCGAAGGCAGUCGCUUAACCAACUGAGCCACCCAGGCUUUUUCCACAUAAUGUUUUACUAGGAUGGCCCUGUCUUCCGUGAUGUCAGCGGAACUUCUGAUUUCAUCUAAAGUAGGCUUCACGCCCAGCAUGAAGCCCAAUGUGGGGUUUGAACUCACCACCCUGAGAUCAAGAGCUGAGCUGAGAGCAAGAGUCAGAUGCUUAACCAACAGAGACAUCCAGGUGCCCCUAAAACGGGAAUCUCAAACUGUACACAGGAUUUUGAAUAAAGCCAAGAAGCCACAGGAGUGAAGAGAUAACGUGUGGGCUACAAAGGUGUUUCUGUGAGCACACACUGAUUAUGCUGACUUUUAAUGUGACACGACAUUGCUUGUCUGUAUCUUAGGAUUCAUUGACUCUUCUAUUCCCCUCCUUUGUAAUGUGAGUUCCAGGUCAUAUUUGUAACUUUGCUCUAGUUUGUGCGUUGUUCUUAAAUGACCAUGUUUAACACCACCAUCAGAAUUAACAAUUUACCAAUUGAAAUAGGCUC